AAUCUCUUCUUCGUCGUCUGGAAUUCUUUCAGCGAUCAAAAGGUCACCGUUGGCCAUCUGGAACUUAUACCCUAUUCCCGAAGGCAGCUGGCUUAAAUUUGUACUGUCAAAAUACCUAGUGAAGCAAAUGCCAGCCGUUUGAAGGAUUAUAAAAACAAAGGAAGAGAUGUUGAGGAAAUGGGAAGGAGACGUACUAAAAAUGUAAAACUUUGCAAAGCAAAGAAAAAAGAUCACUUGUUGAAGCGUGGUGACUUUGAAAUUCUUGAUGAGGCAAUCUGCCCCCUUCAGGGACAGAAGUGUAGGGUGCAUAAAAUGAGGAUUAAGGACAUCGUCAC